AUAUUAUUAAUAUAAAAGAGCUUGAUCCUGGCUCAGAAUGAACGCUAGUAGUUAGCUUAACACAUGCGAGUUAAAUAAAUUUGUUUUAUUAUAAAUUAAUAGCGAACGGGUGAGUAAUAUAUAGAAAUUAACCUCAUUAAUUUUAUUUAAUAUAUAAAAAUUAUAUUGAUUUGAGAAAAGUCUAUAUAAGAUUAAGUAGUUGGUAUUAAGAGCAUACCAAGCUUAUGAUCUUUAGUUGGUCUUUGCGGAUGAACAACCACAUUGGAAUUGAGAUAUGGUCCAAACUUUAUAUAAAGGCAGCAGUGAGGAAUUUUGGGCAAUGAACGAAAGUUUGACCCAGCUAAACUACAUGUGUGAUUAAAGAAGGUACUAAACUGUAAAGCACAUUAAUUAAAUUAAAAUAAUGAUUUUUUAGGAAAAGUCCUGGCUAAUUUCGUGCCAGCAGCCGCGGUAAAACGAGAAGGGCAAGCGUUAUUCGGAAUAAUUGGGCGUAAAGCAUACGUAGGUGGAAAAUCAAAUAUUUAACUAAAAUACUAAAUUUUAUAUUUAAAUAUGUUAUUAAAAUAAUUUUCUAGAGUUUAAGAGAAGAUUAUGGAACUUUAAAUGUAACGGUAAAAUGUUUUGAUAUUUAAAAGAACCUCAAUAGCGUAAGCAAUAAUCUAACUUAAAACUGACACUGAGGUUAUUAAAGUGUGGGUAGCAAAAGGGAUUAGAUACCCCUGUAGUCCACACCCUGAACGAUAAGUGUUUAUUUUCGGAAGAAAUCGGAAAUGUAGCUAACGUGUUUAACACUUCGCCUGGGAACUACGAUUGCAAAAUUAAAACUUAAAGGAAUUGACGGGGACUUACACAAGCAGUGGAGCAUGUGGUUUAAAUCGACAAUACGCGCAAAAUCUUACCAAUUUUUGUAUAAUUAUGUUUUAUUAAUUACAGGUGUUGCAUGGCUGUCGUCAGUCCGUGCUGUGAAGCGUUUGGUUCAUUCCAACAAACGGACAAAACUCUUGUAUAUUUUUUAAUAUAAACUGCUGAAGAUAUUUCGGAGGAAGGUGAGAAUGACGUCAAGUCCUCAUGACCCUAAUAAAUUGGGCUACUUUCAUGUGCUACAAUAGCUUUUUCAAAAAGGAGCAAAAAUGUGAAUUUUAGCAAAUCUUUAAAAAAAGUUCAAAUCGAAUUAUUUUCUGAAACUCGAAAAUAUGAAGUUGGAAUUGCUAGUAAUCGUAAAUAAGAAUGUUACGGUGAAUUUGUUCUUAGGUCUUGUACACACCGCCCGUCACGCUAUGGGAAUUCUUUUUAUUUGAAGAUUAUUAUAAAUAAUUUAUAGUAAAAGAAAAACUGAAGUGAAGUCGUAACAAGGUAGCCGUAGGGGAACCUGUGGCUGGAAAAUUAUUUUUUAAAAAUUUCUACUACC
rnacentral:ncRNA from 1 species